UACGGAGGGUGCAAACGUUGCUCGGAAUCACUGGGCGUAAAGGGUGCGUAGGCGGCCCAAUAAGUCAGAUGUGAAAGCCCUCGGCUCAACCGAGGAAUUGCAUUUGAAACUGUUGGGCUUGAGUUCGGUAGAGGAAAGCGGAAUUCCUGGUGUAGCGGUGAAAUGCGUUGAUAUCAGGAGGAACACCGGUGGCGAAGGCGGCUUUCUGGGCCGAUACUGACGCUGAUGCACGAAAGCGUUGGGUAGCAAA
rnacentral:rRNA from 1 species